rnacentral:rRNA from 1 species
GGUUUGAUUAUGGCUCAGAUUGAAUUGGCGGGAUGUUUAUUAUGCAAGUCGAACGGCAGCACGGACUUCGGUCUGGUGGCGAGUGGCGAACGGGUGAGUAAUGCAUCGGAACGUGCCUAGUGGGGGAUAACUACGCGAAAGCGUAGCUAAUACCGCACAUGCCCUUCGGGAAAGGGGGACCUUCGGGCCUCUCAAUUAGGAGCGGCCGAUAUCGGAUUAGCUAGUUGGUGGGGUAACGGCUCACCAAGGCGACGAUCCGCAGCUGGUUUGAGAGGACGACCAGCCACACUGGGACUGAGACACGGCCCAGACUCCUACGGGAGGCAGCAGUGGGGAAUUUUGAUACCGGGGAAACCCUGAUCCAGCCAUCCCAAGCGUGUGCGAUGAAGGCCUUCGGGUUGUAAAGCACUUUUGGCAGGAAGAAACGGCAUCGAUAAUACCCGCAACUGACGGUACCUGCAGAAUAAGCAACUUCGGCUAACUACGUGUGCCAGCAGCCGCGGUAAUACGUAGGGGUGCAAGCGUUAAUCGGAAUUACUGGCGCAAGCGUGCGCAGGCGGUUCGAAAAGAAAGAUGUGAAAUCCCAGAGCUUAACUUUGGAACUGCAUUUUUAACUACCGAGCUAGAGUGUGUCAGAGGGAGGUGGAAUUCCGCGUAGCAGUGAAAUGCGUAGAUAUGCGGAGGAACACCGAUGGCGAAGGCAGCCUCCUGGGAUAACACUGACGCUCAUGCACGAAAGCGUGGGGAGCAAACAGGAUUAGAUACUCCUGGUAGUCCACGCCCUAAACGAUGUCAACUAGCUGUUGGGGCCUUCUGGCCUUGGUAGCGCAGCUUAACGGGUGCGAAGUUGACCGCCUGGGAGUACGGUCGCAAGAUUAAACUCAAAGGAAUUGACGGGGACCCGCACAAGCGGUGGAUGAUGUGGAUUAAUUCGAUGCAACGCGAAAACCCUACCUACCCUUGACAUGCUCGAACUCUGAAGAGAUUUGGGAGUGCUCGCAAGAGAACCGGAACACAGGUGUUGCAUGGCUGUCGUCAGCUCGUGUCGAGAUGUUGGGUUAAGUCCCGCAACGAGCGCAACCUUGUCAUUAGUUGCUACGAAAGGGCACUCCUUAACGAGACUGCCGGUGACAAACCGGAGGAAGGUGGGGAUGACGUCAGUCCUCGGCGGUCCUUAUGGGUAGGGCUUCACACGUCAUACAAUGGUCGGGACAGAGGUGGUCGCCAACCCGCGAGGGGGAGCUAAUCCUAGAAACCUGAUCGUAGUCCGGAUCGCAGUCUGCAACUCGACUGCGUGAAGUCGGAAUCGCUAGUGGGAUCGCGGAUCAGCAUGUCGCGGUGAAUACGUUCCCGGGUCUUGUACGCACCGCCCGUCACACCAUGGGAGUGGGUUUUACCAGAAGUAGUUAGCCUAACCGUAAGGAGGGCGAUUACCACGGUAGGAUUCAUGACUGGGGUGAAGUCGUAACAAGGUAA